AAAAUAAGCUGUGGUGUCUGUUCAUGGCAUGUCUGAUAGGAUCUCACCACAAGCAUCCGACUGUUUUGGUCUCAAGAUGGAAUUAUGGAACUGAUUGUACAAAUGGGGGAAAUCUUUCAUCCCUUCUUCUGCUAGCAAGUGAGAAGUAAUAAAUGAUCUACUAAGAAAGAGAAUGGUUAAGGAAGAGGGAGUCAUGGCUUUCAUAUCUGGUCUCUUGGACAGAUGUUCAUGUUAGUGCCUUUGUGAGCAUCCCAGCUCUUCCGAUCUUCUGGGAAAGUCUUACAGAACUUAAUAGUAAAAGGUAAUUUAUUAUUUAUUUACGUAUUUAUUGUUUAAUGAUCUUGAAAGAAUGGAAUAGAAAAUUAUGUCCUUGCACUAGAACUCUAUAGGACGGUGUAGCUGGCAGAGACGUGCAGUAGACUGCACACACUUAGCUGUAGCACUCUGGAGGUGGGCAGGGGCUGCAGCCCAGCUGCAGGCAGUUGGGAGUGAUUAUAGGCUGCCUAGGGGAACUGGGACAGCUGAUCCAGAUAAUUGGCUGGCCACAGGAAAUUAAAAGGCUCCCAGGGAUAGGAGCAGCAGUAGUCAGGUUAGUGGUGGUAGAACUAGGCCUGGCUGCUUAUCAGGGUCUGGAAGGAGACCCAAAGCUGUGAGGUUGGAAACAGCUGCACAACCACAGGGUGGGGUCAGAGCCAGGCAGAGAAGGAAGACUGCAGUGCAGAGGAAGCAGCAGUGAGCUGGAUGCACAUUCUCAGGGUUAGAGGAGACUCAGGACUGUGAAUUCACCCUGUGUGAAGUAUAUUAAAUUAUGCUAUUAAGUGUUGAUUUAUGUUUGUGAUGGUUCCUGAGAGGUAAUAAAAUAGUGUGA
rnacentral:lncRNA from 1 species